GGAGAGGUGGCCGAGUGGCUGAAGGCGCACGCCUGGAAAGUGUGUAUAGGGUUCACGCUCUAUCGAGGGUUCGAAUCCCUCUCUCUCCGCCA
rnacentral:tRNA from 1 species